UUACGGCCACAUCACGUUGAAACACCAAUUCUCGUACGAUCACCGAAACUAAGCAACGUCGAGUCUGGUCAGUACCUAAAUGGGUGACCGCUUGGGAACACCAGA